UACGAAGGGGGCUAGCGUUGUUCGGAAUUACUGGGCGUAAAGCGUGCGCAGGCGGCUAUCCAAGUCAGUGGUGAAAGCCCGGAGCUCAACUCCGGAACUGCCAUUGAAACUGUUUAGCUUGAGGACGAGAGAGGUGAGUGGAAUUCCCAGUGUAGAGGUGAAAUUCGUAGAUAUUGGGAAGAACACCGGUGGCGAAGGCGGCUCACUGGCUCGUAUCUGACGCUCAGGCGCGACAGCGUGGGGAUCAAACAGG
rnacentral:rRNA from 1 species